CUUUGGCCAGCGGCGCCCUCCCCCGCCGGGGCAGCCCACCCGCAAGCCCCGCCCCGAAGGCUGGAGCUUCCCUGGGGGUGGGCGAAGCCGAGGCCACGCCCCGAAGGCGGGAGCGGCUUUGGGGAGGGACCUGGCCGCCCUCAGGGCUCCAGCGCCAAGUUCAGAGCCACGCGCUGUGCUCUUGGCCGGGAGGAGGCUGUGCUGCCCCAGCACCUCUUGUUCCACAUCUCCAGAGAGCCCAGGGUGACUUUCAGGCUGCAGUUGUUUUCAUCCCUCCCUCUGCCCCUCCCGGGGUUUAUCGUGUAUUGCUGUUAUUCUAGCCCAGGCUUGCGCUGGGCAGUAGGGUAAGAAC
rnacentral:lncRNA from 1 species